AUUUUGUUUUUAUCAGAAUAAUCAAGGGUUUGGCAACCUUGUUUUGGACACUUCUUCUUCCUCUAGUUUCUUCUUCAACUCAGCUAGCUUAGGAGCUUGGAAGCUAAGAUUAAGGCUUUUAAUUUUUGGAGACAUUAAGGAUUGUGAAACUUGUAACUCGGAUUAGCAACUGCCAAGCUUUCUUCAUCUAAGGAUUUUCGAAUUUCUAAGUAGAGCAGUGCCAUAUAUAUUUCAGAAGGAUUUGAAAGAAAUACAAGAUCUAGAAAACACUGGCUGAGAAGAGUUGAAAAAUCUUUUAUUGGGUUCGAGAGUAGAAGAAACAAAAAUCUUUGGCAGAGGCAGAGGUUCCUAAUGCAAAGAGUUUGCUUAUAAUGUUGACUUCCAAAAGUUCUGAAAGAAAGUGAAAGUAGUAAAGUGGAAACAAGUAUUAAUAACAUGCCCUUAAACAUGGAGUAUUUCAGGCAACCAAGGAAUAAGAAAAUGACAAUGCAAGGAUGGAUGUUGUAUUCUACACAGUUGGGGAGGAGUAUAUUUUGCUUGUUGUUGUAAGCUCACUUCAAGUUUUAUACAUCUAUUGGCUUUUCAUCAAGUUGGUCACCUACAAUCAGGAUUGAGCACUGCAUACCACUAGAGGCUUGUAGAUGGUUUUGGACAAUUAUUUACAUUUUUUGCAUAAAAUUAUCAAAGAUGAUUUAUUGUAAGCCUAGUUUAGGCAAAAUAUUGUAAUUUUAUUAUAGUGAUUAAUAAAUAUUUAGUUAUAUUAUCUUG